AAUAAAAUAUUAAAGUGCAUCCAGUAUCACCAAUCCGCGUUGAGAAAACCAGAAGGCUUACCUAUUACAACUAUUCAACAAAUGCAGGAGUUAGAACAAUCAACAGAAGAAUAUUAUACCGUUGUCAAUUACUUUCAUUAUAUUGGCGGCUUCACUUUGAAAGAAGCAACCAAUCUUUGCCUCAGAGAGGGUUUGCACGACUCAGUGGCGCCGUCAUAUAUUUGAUUCGGCCGCGACGAAGGACGUCAAUCAUUAUAUAAUACUUGGCUCGUUAAGGCCAUCUAUGAUGCUGUAUGUAGAAACAACUACUUUGCAAAACCUCAGAAGUCAGAAUUCCAGAAGCAGAUGCGGGAGUCUUUGCGUGUAAUGAAAGAAAGAAACCGUAUGAAAGGAAACCGUGGACACCAACAUAAUCUUGCCCGACUGAACGCAGAGCAUUUGUGGGACGAGGAGGAGGAAGAACACAAUGAUGAUUGACAAUAUAAAUCAGAUCAAUAUACUGAAUUACAAAAAUUGGCUGAAGGUAUUAAACUUUUGGAAUGCCUUCAAAAAACCGCGCCGUCAGUGUUAAUAUUUGCGAAGAAGAAGCGCGACGUGGAUGCUAUCCACGAAUAUCUGCUAAUCAAAGGAGUGGAAGUUGUUGCAAUACAUGGAGGCAUCGAUCAGGAGAAAAGAUCACGUUCUGUCGAAGCGUUUCGCGCAGAUCAGAAGGACGUUCUGGUUGCGAUAAAUGUUGCGUCCAAAGGUCUCGAGUUUGCUGAUGUGCAACACGUAAUAAAUUAUGAUAUGCCACAUGAUGUGAAGAAUUACGGAUAGGACGUACUGAUCGUUCCGGACGUACUGGCAUCGCGACGGCUUUCAUUAAUAAGGCAAACGAUGAAUCGGUGUUGCUUGAUCUCAAAUAUCUGCUAAUGGAGGCGAAGCAGAAAGUGCCGUCAUUCUUGUUGGAACUUUGCUCAGAAACCGAAAAAUACCUCAAUCUGGGAAACGAACACGGUUGCAGUUAUUGCGGCGGUCACAGAACCACAGAAUGUCCGAAAUUGGAAGCCGUGCAGAAUAAGCAAGUGUCAAAUAUCGGACGUCGCAAGCUAACAAUGCGGCAGAUUACUAAAUAUUAAGA